GAUCUCUGAGGUCCCUUCCAGCCCAGCUGAUUCUAUGAUUCUGUGAUUCUAUGAUUUAUGAAGUCAUCCCUGUAACCAGCCAUCCACCACCCAUGGACUUAUCCCUCACAGUUACCCAGCGGGUUUUGAUCUCUCCACUGACACCUGGGUGUCCUGCAAAGGUUGCAGAAGCACUGAACACCCGUAUCCAGCAGGUGUUUCCAUGGCAACACCGUGUAAAGCCAUCCUUUCCCUCUGACAUGGGAGAAAAUGUUGAAUGGCUGAAAAGAACUGGCUUGGGAAAACCUGGAACUUCCACUAAAAACAG